UACAGAGGGUGCAAGCGUUACUCGGAAUUACUGGGCGUAAAGCGUGCGUAGGUGGUUCGUUAAGUCUGAUGUGAAAGCCCUGGGCUCAACCUGGGAAUGGCAUUGGAAACUGGCGACCUAGAGUGCGGUAGAGGGUAGUGGAAUUCCCGGUGUAGCAGUGAAAUGCGUAGAGAUCGGGAGGAACAUCCGUGGCGAAGGCGACUACCUGGACCAGCACUGACACUGAGGCACGAAAGCGUGGGGAGCAAACAGG
rnacentral:rRNA from 1 species